rnacentral:rRNA from 1 species
UACGGAGGAUCCGAGCGUUAUCCGGAUUUAUUGGGUUUAAAGGGUGCGUAGGCGGUUUGAUAAGUUAGAGGUGAAAUGUCGGGGCUCAACCCCGAAACUGCCUCUGAUACUGGUUUGCUAGCGAGUAGAUGCUGUAGGCGGAAUGUGUGGUGUAGCGGUGAAAUGCAUAGAGAUCAUACAGAACACCGAUUGCGAAGGCAGCUUACCAAGCUACUUCUGACGUUGAGGCACGAAAGCGUGGGGAGCAAACAGG